GAUCUGGCUCAGGACGAACGCUGGCGGCGUGCCUAACACAUGCAAGUCGAACGGAACUGUUUUGAAAGAUUUCUUCGGAAUGAAUUUGAUUUAGUUUAGUGGCGGACGGGUGAGUAACGCGUGAGUAACCUGCCUUCAAGAGGGGGAUAACAUUCUGAAAAGGAUGCUAAUACCGCAUGAUAUAUCGGAACCACAUGGUUUUGAUAUCAAAGAUUUUAUCGCUUGAAGAUGGACUCGCGUCCGA
rnacentral:rRNA from 1 species